rnacentral:rRNA from 1 species
AUUUAUUAAUAUAUUAAUUAUUAUUAGUUAGAUUUAUUUAUGGAUGUAUUUUUUAAAGAGUAAUUAAUAUUUUAAAUUGUUUGAGUAUGUAAUUAGAAAUAAUUGUUUAAAUUAUAAUUUAAACUGUAAAGGAAAAUAUAUAUGUUUAAAUUUAAAUUAGAAUAAUUAAUUUUUAGUACCUUUUGUAUCAGGAUUUAUUAAGAUAAUUUUAUAUAUUUAUAAUUUUCUCGAAAUUAAAUGAGUUAUUAAUUUAUUUUAGUUAAUGUAACAAUAUUAUUAAAAAUAACUUAAUAGGAGUUAUAUGCUAUUCAUAUUUAAUGAUAUCUGGUUUUUUACGAAUUAAAUUGAAUUUAGAUAUAUAAAUUUAUUUAUUUAAUUUUAUAAGAUUGAAUAAUUGUUUUAUAUAUAAAUAAUUUAAGGGAUGAGCUUUAAAUUAAGUUUUAUAAAUUUUUAAGAUUAUUAAUAAUUUAUUUAGAAUUAGAAUUUUUCAUAAUCAAAAAAAAUUUAAUAAUUUAGUAAGAUUAGGGUAAUAAUUAAUUUAUGAUUUAAUGAUUUUAAUAAUGUAGUGAAAAUUUGUUUUAAACAAUUUAAAUUAAAAUAUUAUGAUAAAAUUAGUAUAAACUAAAAUGUUUUAAUUAUUUUAAUAUAUUAAAUAUUAAAUUAAUGAAUUAGGCAAAUUUAAAUAUUCACCUGUUUAACAAAAACAUGUCUUUUGAUUAUAAUAUAAGGUCAAAUCUGCCCCUGAAUAUUUUUUAAAUGGCUGCAGUAUACCUGACUGUGCAAAGGUAGCAUAAUAAUUCGUUUUUUAAUUGAGAACUGUAUGAAAGAUUUAAUGAAAUAUUAACUGUCUCAAUUUAAAUUAUUGAAAUUUAAUUUUGAAUAAAAAUGUUUAAAUUUAAUUAUUAGACGAUAAGACCCUGUAGAAUUUUAUAUUUAUUUUGGUUUUGAUAUAUUUUAUUAAUAUUAAGGUAAUUAUUUAGUUGGGGAGAUUGAAAAAUUUUUGAACUUUUUUUAAUUUAAAACAAUUAUGAUUGGAAUUAAGCAUUAUUUAUUAAUUAAAUUAGAAAAAAUUACCUUAGGGAUAACAGAAUAAUUUUUUUUGAAAGUUCUUAUUGAAAAAAAAGAUUAUGACCUCGAUGUUGAAUUAAGAUUAAUUAAUGGGGUAGAAUUUAUUAUAUUAAGUCUGUUCGACUUUUAAUAUCUUACAUGAUUUGAGUUCAGAUCGGCGUGAGCCAGAUUGGAUUUUAUCUAUAAUUAAAAAUAUUAAAUUUGUACGAAAGGACUUUAUAAUAAGAAUAAUUUUAAGUUAAUUUGAAUCAAAUUAAAU